CACCUGAAAAGCUAGCUGCAUACUGUGAUGGAUGAGAUCCCUGAAAAACAGAGGCUUCGGAAAGUUACAUGGCCUGGACCAAAUCACAGUGACCCCAUGGAGUGAUGAUGCUUAGGGGCUGGAAUUUCACCCCAAAAUAAGGCAGAAAGACAUUAUGGAUGAGAAUGUAGGCAACAGCCUCAAACAGUCGAGGUUCAAAUCCCUACUCUGUACUUGCCCAACUAGAACCGGAAGGGUUUAAUGAGUUAAUAUACGUAAAGUAUUCAGAACAGUGCCUUCACAAGUUGUUAACGGAACACAUACUGGGAGCCCUGCAUGGCACUGAGUUGUGUGGAUUGAAAUAAUCUAUGCUGAAGACAGGACUUUUCUACAGGAGGCAAAAGUUUCCCACCUCCUGUAUACGCUUAUGGCUAAAGUCACGUCACGCCUCAAGGAGUGCGUGGUUGACAUUCUCUCAUGCAGCUUUGACAAACUUCUGGCAUCUCAGAUCCUCCAUUAGCCACCACACAAGAAAGCUAACCUCGAGUCUGGCUCCAUCACGGUUGGAGAAAAGCUCACCUGCAUUCUCAAGAAGCAGGCCAAACACGACUGUGCUCCUGAAUGUAACAGGGACAAGAGGACCAGUGUGAAAUCUGGAUCUUUGGAGGAAAGAAUGCAUACGUUUAAAAUGAAUAAACAGAAUUCUUCUCUCUUCUUCCCAUUGGCAAUGCAUCUGAAGGCCUUGACUCAGCAUUAGUGGGCCUUUAAUGCUCAUGCUUGCCCAUCCCUCUCGACGGUGAUUGAUUCCAUUGUUGGCUGUUUUCGCUACAUGAAUGUGGGAUCUUUGGAGUGCCUAAUUCUUUGCAAGUUCCAUUGGAGGGUGGAAAAGCUAGAACAAGCUGUAACCAGUCGAUGGCCCAGUGACUCAGGAGCUUAAGCAUUUAACUAAUUAGCAGAGAAGAAUGUGGCAAAGAUUGCAGUUAAUAAGAAUGAAAGAAGAAUCACUGGGGCCUGAGUUAUGCAAGCUUCUAUUUCCUUUUGGGACCAUAUCAGAACUUCAGGAGAAGAAAGGCUACCUUUUACCUUUGAGGAAUUUUCAGAGUUGUUUUUUUUUUUUUUUUUUUUUUAAUUGGUGACUGACGAAGAGAACAAUUUCAACACCUCAGAAAAAUGCCUCAUCAUUUCCUCUUGUGAAAUCUGGGUGCUUUUGUAUGAAUUCACGUUAGGAAUGUGGAUCCCCAUCCAUGAGGGUCAUUUUUAACCGAAAGCUGCUAUCGAGUGGUAGUGCUGGUUAGAAAGGGAAGAGUACUUAUCUUCCCCGAGCAUUCUAUGACCUAUAUUUAUCCUUCGAAGGCAAGAAAAUGUCAUACGUGAGAGCACAGUCUUUUGUCAAAUAUGUGAAAAUCCCAGCUCAACCUCUUCCUAGUUACAGGACUGUCCUCUCUGAGCCUCAGUUUUCUCAUCUUUGAAAUGAGACGAAUUACAUCUGCUUCCCAGGGGGUUCUGAGGAUUAAAUAACAACCUGUGAAAAAUAUUAACCUGGUGUCAGGCACACAAUAUUCAUUUAACCUUAUGGUUGUUAUUAUUAACAAAAAAUAAAAGAAAGAGAAAAUGCACACUUACAUUGUCUGUUCACAUUCAUAGUGGUAUUUACUCAGGCUGUAAAUGGGAUUUUUCCAAGUAAAGGGAAAAGUCUGGCUUCUACUUUUAUUAGAUAAAAACGGUGAGUUAAAAAAGUUACCUUUAUGAAUGAUAAUUCCUAGUGGUAAAGAAAGAUAGAAUUUUAAUACUUUAUUUUUUGACCUUUUUAUUUAGUUUUUGUUUAUUUUUUCCUGCCUCAUUUCAAAAAAGAAUUUCAAAGUAGGUUAUAAACCUAUAAACAAAGACAAACUAAAUUAGGAUUAACUUUUUUCACCCAUAAUUUGUUUUCUCCUAUAAUCUUCUCAACAUUUAAAAAAGUUGUAUAAUUCCCCAAUUGACAAAUAGAGGUUGCUGAAUAUGUAUUUAUUGAAUUUAAUUGAAAUGAGCAGAAAAAAAAAUUCAAUAAAUGUUUUUCUUCGAGAA